CUUGAAAACUCUUACCUCCAACUCCAUACAUCACUACUUGAGUUGAUGAAGUAUACCAAGUCCCGUUGCAAAGGUUACAAAGAGUACUUCUCAAAAUACCAAGAGGACUUGGACAGCAGUCUGAAUGAAGAUAAAAGAAUCGAAUGUGGCCUGCAGUUUGCUGUGCAACUUCUGCCAUCGCUUUUUAGAGAGGAUGCGACGUAUCUACUCGCUGAUUCGAUUGAGAAUAUCAAAUCUCCAGCUCCAGUUCUUACCUGUGAAGGAGGCGAAUACCAGCUUCACAUCAACGGGGCACCUCUUCUGGCAACAAAAUCAUCAAAGUUUACAAAUGCUUUGGAAGCUCUGUUUCAGUCAUAUCGGGUAUUUUCGUUGGAAUACCCGAAGGAAAUAGAAAAGACGUUACUGUUCUUAGAGUCAUACAUAUUUCAACACAAUACUAAACUACCUGCAUGUGUCUCUACUUGGGCAAAAAAGAUUGGUAUGAAGUUAUAAUUUUCUUCACUAACUUAUAAAAGACUGAAUUUACUUUAUCAAUGCCAUACAUGACUGAUAAUUGGCGUUAUUUUUUUUUUUUUUUUUUUUUU